GGAAUCUGGUCUCCCUGGGGCUUGCAGUUUCCAAACCAGACAUGAUAUCUCAUUUGGAGAAUGGGAAAGGACCAUGGGUGACGGUGAGAGAAAUUUCAAGAAUUCCCUAUCCUGGGUCUCAUUCUAUCACCCAGGCUGGAAUGCAGUGGUGUGAUCAUAGCUCACUGCAGUCUCAAACUCCUGGGCUCAAGUGAUCCUCCUGCCUCAUCCUCCUACAUAGCUGGGAGUAGAGGCACACACCACCACACCUAAGAUUUUUAUUUUUUGUAGAGGAAGGGGUCUCACUAUGUUGACCAAGCUGUUCUCGAACUCCUGGGCUCAAGCUAUCCUCCCACCUCGUCCUCCCAAAUUGCUGGGAUUUCAGGUGUGAGUCACCAUGCCUGACAUUACUUGGCUUUUAAAAACAUUACUGUUUUUAGUCCUUUUUCUUGUAUGUUUGAGUUUUAUUACUUUCUGUUCUUUAUUAUUUUAUUCCAUUCUUAGAGC
rnacentral:lncRNA from 10 species